GCAAGGUGGCCCCACUCCUUCCCAUCCCGAACAGGACCGUGAAACGCCUUCGCGCCGAUGAUAGUUGGCAUUCGCCUGUGAAAGUAGGUCAUCGUCAGGC
rnacentral:rRNA from 1 species